CGAGUGAAGCGGCAAUAGCUCAAAUUUGAAAUCUGGCACCUUCGGUGUCCGAGUUGUAAUUUGAAGAAGGUAUCUUUGGUUUUGGCUCUUGUCUAUGUUUCUUGGAACAGGACGUCACAGAGGGUGAGAAUCCCGUGCGAUAAGAUGCCCAAUUCCAUGUAAAGUUCCUUCGACGAGUCGAGUUGUUUGGGAAUGCAGCUCUAAGUGGGUGGUAAAUUCCAUCUAAAGCUAAAUAUUGGCGAGAGACCGAUAGCGAACAAGUACUGUGAAGGAAAGAUGAAAAGAACUUUGAAAAGAGAGUGAAAAAGUACGUGAAAUUGUUGAAAGGGAAGGGCUUGAGGUCAGACUUGGUUUACCAGGCCAGCAUCAGUUUGGAUGGCAGGAUAAUAGCUAAGAAAAGUGGCACAGCUUCGGUUGUGUGUUAUAGUCUUGGUUGAUACUGCCUGUCUAGACUGAGGACUGCGUCUUUGACUAGGCCGUCUUGAAGAACAAACCAUCAACAUUAUU
rnacentral:rRNA from 1 species